rnacentral:misc_RNA from 1 species
GGGGCUCGGCGCGGUCAAUUCCUGGUGCGAGGCUUGCACGCCGACCGCAGUGGUCAAGGCCGCAAAGCGCAGAUUGAGCGGCGCGAACUGCACCUCGACGCGGCCUUCCUGCUCCUUGUUGGUGAAGGUCUGGCGCACGCCGUCGCUUGAAAAAUCAGCCGGAUCGGCAAGGCCGAUUUCAUUGUGCUUGUAGUCGGUGGCGCCAGCCCAGAACCGGAUCACGUCGAUCGCCUUGGUGUCGGGGUGAUAGUCGCCCUUCACCGUCAGCUUGGUCUGCCGCGCACUGAUGCGGG